GCAGUGGGGAAUAUUGCACAAUGGGCGCAAGCCUGAUGCAGCCAUGCCGCGUGUGUGAAGAAGGCCUUAGGGUUGUAAAGCACUUUCAGUUGUGAGGAAAGGUUAGUAGUUAAUACCUGCUAGCUGUGACGUUAGCAACAGAAGAAGCACCGGCUAACUCCGUGCCAGCAGCCGCGGUAAUACGGAGGGUGCGAGCGUUAAUCGGAAUUACUGGGCGUAAAGCGUACGCAGGCGGUUUGUUAAGCGAGAUGUGAAAGCCCCGGGCUCAACCUGGGAACUGCAUUUCGAACUGGCAAACUAGAGUGUGAUAGAGGGUGGUAGAAUUUCAGGUGUAGCGGUGAAAUGCGUAGAGAUCUGAAGGAAUACCGAUGGCGAAGGCAGCCACCUGGGUCAACACUGACGCUCAUGUACGAAAGCGUGGGGAGCAAA
rnacentral:rRNA from 1 species